rnacentral:rRNA from 1 species
GGACGGGUGAGUAAUGUCUGGGAAACUAGCCUGAUGGAGGAGGAUAACUACUGGAAACGGUAGCUAAUACCGCAUAACGUCGCAAGACCAAAGAGGGGGACCUUAGGGCCUCUUGCCAUCGGAUGUGCCCAGAUGGGAUUAGCUAGUAGGUGGGGUAACGGCUCACCUAGGCGACGAUCCCUAGCUGGUCUGAGAGGAUGACCAGCCACACUGGAACUGAGACACGGUCCAG